CAGGCUUUAUGGAACGUUCCGUAGGGCUGUAAAUCGGACACCAAAAGAGGUCGUCAUGUUUCCCACUGUUCAGUCUAACCAAUCACAUAGAGGCUGUUAGUCCAUCAGAGAGAACAGAAGGACAGUUCCAAGAUGCUACCACGACCACUUGUGCUUACUUGUCUAUUCAUCCUAUCGUCAGUAUUCUUACAUGAAUUUGUAGAAAGUUCCUCGACCACGACCGAUAGUUCUCUCACGACUUCAGACGAUGAUUUAACGACCGAAACUACCACGAUAGCAAGUACCACAGCUGCUAAUUCGGACGCCACCAGUACCACGGCUGCUAAUUCGGACGCCACCACGGACGACUCAACAGUCGGGGAUACAACCACCAUGGACUCAACUUCUUCAAAUGACGUCACCUCAACACAGGGGAAUACAUUAGUUACCGAGGAUACGGGAAAUUCAAAUGAUAAUGGCGGGCACACGUAUCAUGCGAAUAUUUUCCUUUUAAGUUUGAUACUUUUGAUCAGUAGGCUUUUGAUGGAAUUCCAAUGACGUUAUCAUUAGUUGUUGAAAUGCAGAAAAUAAAUAUGACCGUUACUCCGGUAAUGAGAAUUCAUCUGCAGGAUCUUAUCAAUGUAAAUCUUGUUUCAUUAAUUGUAAUUUAAACAAAAAUCUAUAUUUAUUUACUGUUUCUCUUUUGACCUGACAUGUACAAGUUUAUUUGUGUUAUGUAUUUAUCUUUUUACGUGAUGUUGCUUCAGAGAAAGAAACCUGUCUGAAUAAAAUCAAUGAUUUAUUUUCGAACACGGAAA